rnacentral:pre_miRNA from 1 species
AAAAAGGCAAACCCUGGGUUUCCGUGUCUCCGUCUUAUAUGAAAUUUUUUAAUAAUUCGUAUUUUCAUUGUUGUUAGAUGAUAAAACAUGAUUAAUAUUUUAUAUGUGACUUGUCUUUUUAUUUUUUUUUAUAAUUUUUUUAAAUAAGACGGACGGUCAAAUGUUGGGCACAGAAACU